AUCAGGAUGGCCGAGAGGGUAAGGUGUUGGACUUAGGAUCCAAUGGAUGUGAGUCCUCAUGGGUUCGAGUCCCACUCCUGGUA